rnacentral:snRNA from 1 species
GGAUGUGAGGGCAUCUGGCUGUGACAUCUGUCAUCCCAUUGAUCUCCAGGGUUGAUUCAGCUGAUCUGUCUGGCUAGGUGGGUGUCCCCAUCCUCCCUCACCACUCCAUGUGCGUCCCUCUUGAAGCUGCACAGUCAGUCAAAGAGGAUGGACGACCUUCCCCGGAUAGAAUUUAACAGGUCUUGGGUGGAGGGUAUAUGAGUAGCUGCACUCCUCUGCUAGAACUUCCAAACAAGCUCUCAAGGUCCAGAAUUCACUGAGGAUCUGGGAUAUCUCUCCAUCUCAAGACCCCCACCUU